rnacentral:rRNA from 1 species
UACGUAGGGUGCAAGCGUUGUCCGGAAUUAUUGGGCGUAAAGAGCUCGUAGGCGGUCUGUCGCGUCUGGUGUGAAAACUCAAGGCUUAACCUUGGGCCUGCAUCGGGUACGGGCAGACUAGAGUGCGGUAGGGGAGACUGGAAUUCCCGGUGUAGAGGUGAAAUUCGUAGAUAUCGGGAGGAACACCAGUGGCGAAGGCGGCGACCUGGACAGAUAUUGACGCUGAGGUGCGAAAGCGUGGGGAGCAAACAGG